rnacentral:lncRNA from 1 species
AAAGAUAUCCUGUGAUAAUUACAGAGCCCCUUCUACAAGCACUUCCGUGUUUUAAAGGCAAAGUCUAAAAAUGCCUAUCUACAGGAAAGUUUAAAAAAUAAUGAUUUUGGAGACAAUUUUGGUUAAUGUGUAUUAAAUGUCAUUUUUGGGUUUUUUUGUAUACAAAUUCUUUACGAUGAAGGGAAGGGCAAGAACAGCUUACUUGGAGUAUUCCAUUUAAUAUGUCCUAAUAAUCCUGGCAAUCAUGUGGUCAUUUUCCAGAGCCACCAGUUGUGAUCUUGCAAAAAGGACUACGACAAACAAGGAAAUGAGGGAAGGAAGGAAGGAAGGAAGAAAGGAAGGAAGGAAAGAAGAUGAUUUAACACAGUGUUUUCUCAUACUGUGAAUACAAUAUGGUUGCUACUAAAAACAGAGAGACGAGAACCUUAUUUCUGCCUAUUCAUGAUAAAACAUCCUUCAGAAGGAAGGCACGAGUAAAGACUGGAUUUAGAAAAGCAAAAAUUCGCCUGGAAAAACAUGCCACAAUGGUAAGCAUUAAAUAUUGUUCUUUAUCACAGUGCAGUAGGAUAGUCACCUACAGCUAUGGCAGUGUGGCAGGUGUCCUUCAACACUACUGAGG